AGUAUACUUAUAGAUUAUCGUUGAUCAUCUAAACGAGAUUGAUUUUCUCGCUUGAGCCGCUUGAGCAAUCGAGUUGAGAUGACCAAUGAUAAUCUGUUUAUCACUAUUUUACCUAUGACGACGUUGUCAUUUCAUGUCAAUUGAAUUAGCAACGUUACGUGCUUCCUUAGUUUCUAGCGAUAAUUUUCCAUCUCAAGCGAGGAGCAUGAUAUGAAAAAUUAUCACAAAAAAAAGAUCAAAGGAAAAAUGCGCAAAAUAGCGAUAAAAUUCAAUAAUACAAAAUUAAUACAACUACAAAUAUCAAUAUAGAUCCAACAUCGUUUCGAAUUUGUAGACAAGUUGUUCCUUAAAAUACUUCAAGAUAAAUGUUUCAACUAUGAACCGAGCGUAUAUAUAGUAUUCAGUUUUAGUUAUUGAAACGAAAAUUAUAUAUAUUUCAAGCACGUUAUCUAUAUAUAAGUAAUAUGACUUACCUAAUGCACUUAAUAUCUAAAUACAUUGAGAUAUUCCGGAGUGAUUUCGUGAAGUACAAAAUAAUCUGAAAAGGGCACCCUUCACAGCUCUCCCAAAAGGUUUGUUUGAGGAUGUCAUUUUUUAUAACGAUUCAUAAGGAUUAUAAAUCCGACGAUAAGUGCACAAAGGUAACCUGUAUUAACACAAAUAAAUAAAACUGCGCAGUAAUAGGUUUUAAAAAUAAACUAGAUCGCGUACAAGUGUACUAUGCAAUAAAGUUUUUGCUUAUAUCAUAUUAUUGACCUUUGCGGAUUUCCGAGUAUGUACCUAUACAUUAGUGUUGCAUUAGUAUAAUAUUGAACACCAUAAACGGUAGUUUUGUGUUACAGUAGUAGCUACCUUUGAUAUGCAAAGUAAGGAAAAAAAUGUUGAAAGAAAAAUGUUUAAGAAGGUUGAAAGAAUACCAAUAUUUGUAACGGUUCCUUUCUACCCCGAAAUGUAUUUUACUUUCAGCUAAAAAAAUAAUUUUCGGAACAAUUUAAAGAUCGAUGCAUCAUAAACAAUUUAUAAGCUGAUCUGUUUAGGAGUCAAUUAAAGUCUCAUGACAGUGUUCCUAAAAUUCACGACGGAGGACAUUUUAGCGCAAAAAAAUGGAGGUUUUGGCGCCAAAGUUAAACCUAUUUUAGCGCAACCUUUUUCACAGAUUUUAGCGAAAAGUAGAAUUAUCAAUUGCAAUUUUAGCGCAACAUUUUUAAUCCAUUUUAUAAACGGGUUGCCUGAUUGGUCUGAAAAUUUUAGAGCAGAUAGAUCUUGACCUAAUAAACAAUUUUAUCCUGUCAGAUUUACUCUAAACGCUUUCAGAUAUGAGCCAAAAACUGCAUUUUACCCUAUGUACUAUUUUUAGCCAUGUCAGCCAUCUUGGUUUGCGGGCCGGGUCAUCGGACACAUUUUUUAAACUAAAUACUCUAAUGAUGAGUGUGGACAAGUUUGGUUAAAUUUGUCUUUGUAGUUUCAGAGGAGAAGAUUUUUGUAAAAAAUUACCAAAAACUAAAAAAUUUACCAUAAAGGCCAAUAACUCCUUAAAGGGUCAACUAACCAUUUUGGUCAUGUUGACUUAUUUGUAGUUCUUACUUAGAUGAACAUUAUUGCUGUUUACAGUUUAUCUGUA
rnacentral:lncRNA from 1 species